rnacentral:rRNA from 1 species
GACAGAGGUGCCAAGCGUUUAGGCGGAAUCACUGGGCUUAAAGCGUGUGUAGGCGGGUUUGUAAGUACCUUGUGAAAUUCCAUGGCUCAACCAUGGAACUGCUCGGUAUACUGCGAAUCUUGAGCCACUUAGGGGCUACCGGAACAAAUGGUGGAGCGGUGAAAUGCGUAGAUAUCAUUUGGAACGCCAAUGGUGAAAACAGGUAGCUGGGAGUGUGCUGACGCUGAGACACGAAAGCCAGGGGAGCGAACGGG